UACAAAGUGCUCCUGAAGUGAAUGGGAGACUGUAAUUGUGCUUUAUAGACAGUUUUUGCAUAAGUAUGUCAACAUCUGUCAAUAGAUUUGAGAUGCGAUAGCUAGGUGCGACCUCUGUAAUAUCUAGAGGCAGAUGCACCUAGCGUAGUAGAUGCUGGCGACAACCAAGAAGGGAUGACCACCACCUUGCUGUCAUGCUUGUGAGCUUCCAGAGGCCACUGGCUGGUCACUGCUGAGUUUUAUUUAGUAAGGCAAUUCUUCCAUUCUUCCAUGAAAUGUCUGUGUUCUAACCUUUUCUGCAGUGGGUGGGGGAGGAAAUUUACAUUUGUAGAAUGUAAUUUACAUUUGUAGAAUCUGAUUUUUUUUUAAAAAAAAUUGGUGGUUGAUUCCAGUAAUAUUUCAGCAUGGAUUUGAUUUGAUUUGCUUAUUGCACAUGUUCUCUCUUUCCCAGAUUCUUUUUCUUGAUGUCAGCACAUACAGCAUUAUACUUGGGGUAACUGGAGUGCCUCUCAGAAUGUGUCAUUAAAACUGCUUCUCUAUCAUAUUCCAUCUGAAAGUGGUCUUUUUAAAGUCUCUUGAGGGAAUUGUGUAUUUUAUAUACUUGCAGUGGUGGACUAUUGUGUAAUGAAGAAACAAAAGGGGUGGAAAAUUACAUGGGUAGGGGAAAAGGGAUUUGGUCUGCACGCUCAUAUAAACCAGGAAAGCGGACCAUAGUGGCAAGAGGAGUGUUGUUAAGACUGCUGCCUUCACCUCACUUCACAAGUUCUAAUAUUUUUACUUACAAUUCAAGAUGCUAAUUGAUAUAGUCAAUAAAACUCUGAAACAGCCAUGGGCCAUAAAUACUGUAGCUUCAAUGUGAAAUUUCUGUCAUUUAAACCUAUUGAUUUCACUGGUCUUAAGCAUGCCUAAACUCUGCUGCAUGAUGGACAAGCCCUUUAGUCUCGGAGUAUGAUAUUAUAUAAAUGCAUGACUGGUCUAUAGGAAAACUUUCUCGCAUAUUUUGCUUUAUUAAUGGCAGUUAUAAUGGCAUUAGUAAUAAUUCAGACUGGAUUUCAAGAUUUGAUAUUUUAAGAUUUAAAAUAUGUGCUGUUAAUCAGCAAAUAUGGAAUCUUGAUUGCUAUAACGACUGUGUUUCUUUUUCAUAUACAACUGCACUAGCAUUUUCUAUUUUUUUGUCCCAACGUUUUAAAAUAAUACCUAAAUUCUAUUCAUAUUCUUAAAAGUAUGAUUGGCCAUGAUCCAUUCCCAGGGCUUUGAUAAACUAUGGGCCACAACAGUGAUGACAAACCUUUUAGAGACAGAGUGCCCAAACUGCAACCCAAAACCCACUUAUUUAUCGCAAAGUGCCAACAUGGCAAUUUAACCUGUAUAUCUUCAUUUUUCUCUGUGUUUCACGUUUCUUCUUUAUGACUGCUGUUGUAAUAAAUAAUCCGUCAUUAAAUUAUCUUUUCAUUGAUAUAUAAUUUUAUGGUAUAACUCAGUGCUUUUUUUUCUUAAAAAAAUGUUUAGGGGUACUCUCAUUUUGACUCAAGAAAAUCUCCACCAGGGAAAAAUAAAUACAGUUCAAAUUGGGAAAAAUAAAUACAAUAAAUUUCUUCUCCCGUUAAAUUCACAAAAUGUUUAAGGGUAUGCGUCCCCCUGUGUCCCCACAGAAAAAAAGCCCUGGUAUUACUCCAAAACAAAGUGGUGUUAUGAGCCAUCAAACCUCUGAAAUAAAUUUUCCCCAGGAGGUUCCACAAUUCUGGAAACUAGUGUACACUGGAGGGCUGUACUAAGAGCCACCCUCUCCCAAUUUUUAAUAUGAGAUAAUAAUGAUAGUCUGCAUGUGCACAUACAAAUAUAAAUAAAUAAAUAAACCCAACAAGAUGGGCAGGCUAUUAUUAGCCAUUUCUUUUGCUGCUGUUUGAUCGCAGCCUCCAUGGAAUGAAUUUCUCUGUUGGCUUCCGCGGGAAAGCCCAGUGAACAUGUAAACCCAGCAGCCCCUUCUUAGGUUGCCGUCUUUAUAUGCUUACUAACCUGGGAGUUAAGCCCUGCUGAACUCAAGACAGCUUUCUCCUGAGUAGGAAAAUCAGACUGGCUUGAGGCCCUGGUGCAUCAAAAGUCAAUGCCUGCUCAGCCCCUCGAUGCUCGCCAAGCCCUGGUGCCGCAGGCUUUGGACAGUACGUGCGAGCCCGCCACUCCUCCUCCACCCCCAGCACGGAAGCUACGGCUCUGCUGGGGUGAUGGCACACAUGCCCACAGAGAGGGCUCUGGGUGCCCUCUCUGGCACACAUACCAUAGGUUCGCCACCACUGAGCCAGAGGCUGCAGGGGAGAGUAAGUCAGUACUUCAUAAAUCAAAAAAUGUGCACUAAUCUUUCCAUAUUGGUGGAAGGACCAUAGGUAGAACAUCUGUUUUGCAUGCAGAAGAUUCCAGGUUCUACAUCAAGUUUAAAAGACCAUAUAACAUGUGAUGGAAGACUUCUGCCACUCAGAGUGGACAAUGCUGGGCUAAAUGGGGGGUGGGGAGAAAGCAGUUUUCUAUAUUUGCUGGAGUCUUGCCCAAUAUGAAGACAAAAGUGAAUUGAAUUUUUCACAUUAUCUCUGAAUGGAUAUAAAUAGUAAUUUAUAAAUAGUAAUGUUUUUAUCCUGGCUACUGUCCCACACUUCUUUCUCUCCAUCGUUAUUUUUGAUCUAACGGAAUGUGUUGAAUUAUACCUAUCCUCUUUUAUGGGUUAUGCAUAUCAAAGUAGGUGUGGCCAAGAUGUGAUACUGGACUCAGUGAGAAUGGCAGAUCUCAAGGUUAUUUACCAAGUCUUUCCCAACAGCUAUUCUACACAGUUUGGAAACUGUUUGGAAAUUCAUAGACUGCAAAAUUUCUAACAGCUGGCAUUAAAGGCCACUAUGGUGAUCUCUGAAUCUCAAAUUGUAUAAUUUUUUAUCUGGCAAUUUUAUGUGUUCAGUUGCAUUUUUAUGUUUGAUGUACUCUGGAAAUAUAUUGCAAUAGCUGAAGGCUGAUGCAAAUAAUUGUUUUCCUUUGUACACACUGCCUUGUGUGACAGUUUUCUUGUCUGUGACAUGGUUGGCUUGCUUAAAUGUUUUGGAAGGCACCGCUGUGGUCAAUCACCAGUGCUUACAUAAAAUAAAUACUGUUGAAAGACUGGUGAUUGGAAUACUCCAAACGCUGCCUCUUAUUUGAAUGAUUUAUUAAAAAAUAUUUCUUAUUUGUAAAUUUAAUAAGUAAAGUAGAAGAAGAGAAAGGGGGAAAUGAAAUU
rnacentral:lncRNA from 1 species